rnacentral:rRNA from 1 species
AACGAACGCUGGCGGCAUGCCUAACACAUGCAAGUCGAACGAGAUCUUCGGAUCUAGUGGCGCACGGGUGCGUAACGCGUGGGAAUCUGCCCUUGGGUACGGAAUAACUCAGAGAAAUUUGUGCUAAUACCGUGUAAUGUCUUCGGACCAAAGAUUUAUCGCCCAAGGAUGAGCCCGCGUAGGAUUAGCUAGUUGGUGAGGUAAAAGCUCACCAAGGCGACGAUCCUUAGCUGGUCUGAGAGGAUGAUCAGCCACACUGGGACUGAGACACGGCCCAGACUCCUACGGGAGGCAGCAGUGGGGAAUAUUGGACAAUGGGCGAAAGCCUGAUCCAGCAAUGCCGCGUGAGUGAUGAAGGCCCUAGGGUUGUAAAGCUCUUUUACCCGGGAUGAUAAUGACAGUACCGGGAGAAUAAGCUCCGGCUAACUUCGUGCCAGCAGCCGCGGUAAGGUGACGCUCU